rnacentral:rRNA from 1 species
AACCCGAUGGGCCAUCCACACACCCCAUCCGCCAGAGAACUACGAAGUGAAAAACUUAAAACUCUAAGGACUUGACGGUGCCCCACACCAGCCUAGAGGAGCCUGUCCUAUAAUCGAUACUCCACGCUAAACCUUUCCCCCCCUCGUACUAAAUCAGCCUAUAUACCGCCGUCGCCAGCUUGCCUAGUGAUAGACUUAAAGCAAGCAAAACAGUAAUCCCACUAGCACGUCAGGUCAAGGUGUAGCUAACGGGGGGGCCAGAGAUGGGCUACAUUUUCUAGCAACUAGAAAACACUUCAGGCUAUAUGAAAUCUAAGCCACCCGGCGGAUUUAGCAGUAAAUCUGGGCAAAGAAGUGCCCCUAUUGAAACAUGCCCUGGGGGCGCGUACACAC